rnacentral:rRNA from 1 species
AUGGGCGCAGCCUGAUGCAGCCAUGCCGCGUGUGUGAAGAAGGCCUUCGGGUUGUAAAGCACUUUCAGUCGUGAGGAAGGUAGUGUAUUUAAUAGAUGCAUUAUUUGACGUUAGCGACAGAAGAAGCACCGGCUAACUCCGUGCCAGCAGCCGCGGUAAUACGGAGGGUGCGAGCGUUAAUCGGAAUUACUGGGCGUAAAGCGCAUGCAGGUGGUGUGUUAAGUCAGAUGUGAAAGCCCGGGGCUCAACCUCGGAAUAGCAUUUGAAACUGGCAGACUAGAGUACUGUAGAGGGGGGUAGAAUUUCAGGUGUAGCGGUGAAAUGCGUAGAGAUCUGAAGGAAUACCGGUGGCGAAGGCGGCCCCCUGGACAGAUACUGACACUCAGAUGCGAAAGCGUGGGGAGCAAACAGGAUUAGAUACCCUGGUAGUCCACGCCGUAAACGAUGUCUACUUGGAGGUUGUGGCCUUGAGCCGUGGCUUUCGGAGCUAACGCGUUAAGUAGACCGCCUGGGGAGUACGGUCGCAAGAUUAAAACUCAAAUGAAUUGACGGGGGCCCGCACAAGCGGUGGAGCAUGUGGUUUAAUUCGAUGCAACGCGAAGAACCUUACCUACUCUUGACAUCCAGAGAACUUUCCAGAGAUGGAUUGGUGCCUUCGGGAACUCUGAGACAGGUGCUGCAUGGCUGUCGUCAGCUCGUGUUGUGAAAUGUUGGGUUAAGUCCCGCAACGAGCGCAACCCUUAUCCUUGUUUGCCAGCGAGUAAUGUCGGGAACUCCAGGGAGACUGCCGGUGAUAAACCGGAGGAAGGUGGGGACGACGUCAAGUCAUCAUGGCCCUUACGAGUAGGGCUACACACGUGCUACAAUGGCGCAUACAGAGGGCGGCCAACUUGCGAAAGUGAGCGAAUCCCAAAAAGUGCGUCGUAGUCCGGAUUGGAGUCUGCAACUCGACUCCAUGAAGUCGGAAUCGCUAGUAAUCGUGGAUCAGAAUGCCACGGUGAAUACGUUCCCGGGCCUUGUACACACCGCCCGUCACACCAUGGGAGUGGGCUGCAAAAGAAGUGGGUAGUUUAACCUUCGGAGACGCUACACUUUGUGGUCAUGACUGGGUGA